CUAACUUCCCCUUAACUGUUUCUCCAAAAUACCUUUAUUUCCCCCAAAAUUAUAAAGGAAUUCCCUCAUCCUCAAAAAAAACAUACUUACAUUCUACACAUUUUAUCAGACACAUUAGAGAGACAAAACAUCAGAAAACACGACCAAGAGGAAAAAGCAGAGAAAUCAAAAGAACAAAAAGGAAGGGAAGAAACAAAACAAGAAAGAAACAAAACAAAAAUGGAAAGAAACAAAGAGAGGACCAAGUAAAGAAAAGAAAAAUGUGGAAAAGAAAAUGGGCAGAAACUUUAAAAAGAAAGCAACCCAUAAUGUUAAAAAAAGGGGGUGGAUAACAGAAGAAGAAAAUCAAUGGAGAAAGGACGGAAAGGAAAUGCCGAGUGGGUUUGGGUUCCAUUCGAGUUCCUGUAACGACAUUCUUACUUUUAUACUUGAGUAGUUCACUUCACAGGUUCGGAUGCAUAGUUUCCUGAUCAUCCUUAGACAACUCAGCAGUUCUCUGUGGUAGUAGUGGUUCAGACGCACAGUUUCCAGAUUGUUCUUUCACAGUUCAGACGCACAGGUUCAAACGCUUUAUUGUUUU